rnacentral:lncRNA from 1 species
CUCCUUCUGCGUUUUGUGUCUGUCAGCGCCCUGGGUUUACCUAUGUUAUAUUUUUUUUACAAUUCUAGAAGUAUUUUGGAUCAUUUUCAUUUUUCAGAAAAGUAAACUAGGGCUCAAAGAAGUGAAGUAGCUCUUCAGCUGCCUGCCUGCCUGAGAUCACCCGGCGGGUGCACGACCUCCCAGACUGUGCAACAACAGACCCAGUAAGGAAGGAAACACAACUGAAAAAUAUCUUGCAUGCCGUGAAAGCUGAAGAUCAAGCUAAAAUUAAUCUAAAAGCACACCAAACAGGAAUAGCAAGAACUGAAGAUGCCUGUCCUGUUUCCAAAACUAAGGGGAGGAG